GAUAGCGUUAUAGCUC
rnacentral:rRNA from 31 species